GCAGGAUGUCCUUCCAGGGCAAGAAAAGCAUCCCCCGGAUCACGAGUGACCGCCUUCUCAUCAGAGGUGGGAGGAUCGUGAAUGACGACCAGUCCUUUUACGCUGACGUGCACGUGGAAGACGGCUUGGUAAACCGCUCCCUCCUCUAGUCAAAAAAGUAGCAACCAGGGACCUGAGUGGAAAACCACAGGGCGUGGCGUCUGCGUGAGGCUAGACCCUGCAGUGACCGUCCUGAGCUGCGCUGAGGGAUGCUUUGCUCCCUGGCACUCCCGAGGAGCUAGUCCAUGGACCAUGUCUUCCCUGACACGGGUGUGAGCCUGCUGGCAGCCUACGAGCAGUGGCGGGAGCGGGCGGACGGCGCGGCUUGCUGCGACUACUCCCUGCAUGUGGACAUCACCCGAUGGCACGAGAGCAUCAAGGAGGAGCUGGAGGCCCUGGUCAAGGAGAAGGGCGUGAACUCCUUCCUAGUCUUCAUGGCAUACA
rnacentral:sRNA from 1 species